AACGAACGCUGGCGGCAUGCCUAACACAUGCAAGUCGAACGAGACCUUCGGGUCUAGUGGCGCACGGGUGCGUGACGCGUGGGAACCUGCCCUUAGGUUCGGAAUAACUCCCCGAAAGGGGUGCUAAUACCGGAUAAUGUCUUCGGACCAAAGAUUUAUCGCCUUUGGAUGGGCCCGCGUUGGAUUAGCUAGUUGGUAGGGUAAAAGCCUACCAAGGCGACGAUCCAUAGCUGGUUUGAGAGGAUGAUCAGCCACACUGGGACUGAGACACGGCCCAGACUCCUACGGGAGGCAGCAGUGGGGAAUAUUGGACGAUGGGCGAGAGCCUGAUCCAGCAAUGCCGCGUGAGUGAUGAAGGCCUUAGGGUUGUAAAGCUCUUUUACCCGGGAUGAUAAUGACAGUACCGGGAGAAUAAGCUCCGGCUAACUCCGUG
rnacentral:rRNA from 1 species